rnacentral:rRNA from 1 species
GACGAACGCUGGCGGCGUGCCUAAUACAUGCAAGUCGAGCGCAGGAAGCCGUCUGAACCCUUCGGGGGGACGACGGUGGAAUGAGCGGCGGACGGGUGAGUAACACGUAAAGAACCUGCCCAUAGGUCUGGGAUAACCACGAGAAAUCGGGGCUAAUACCGGAUGUGUCAGCGGACCGCAUGGUCCGCUGAUGAAAGGCGCUCCGGCGUCGCCCAUGGAUGGCUUUGCGGUGCAUUAGCUAGUUGGUGGGGUAACGGCCCACCAAGGCGACGAUGCAUAGCCGACCGGAGAGGGUGAUCGGCCACACUGGGACUGAGACACGGCGCAGACUCCUACGGGAGGCAGCAGUAGGGAAUCUUCCACAAUGGACGAAAGUCUGAUGGAGCAACGCCGCGUGAACGAUGAAGGCUUUCGGGUCGUAAAGUUCUGUUGUAAGGGAAGAACAAGUGCCGCAGGCAAUGGCGGCACCCUGACGGUACCUUGCGAGAAAGCCACGGCUAACUACGUGCCAGCAGCCGCAGUAA